ensembl:lncRNA
GAAAGGAGGGAGGAAAGGGGGAGGGGGAGGGGAGGGAGGAGGAAAGGAGGGAGGAAAGGAGGGAGGAAAGGAGGGAGGAAAGGAGGGAGGAAAGGAGGGAGGGGGGGGGGAAAGGAGGGAGGAAAGGAGGGAGGAAAGGAGGGAGGGAGGAUAUCAGGAAGAAAAGAGGGGUGUAAGGAAGUAUUUAGCUACGUGAGGUGAGCUGGGCGUUUCCUCUCGCCGCCCCUGGAGCACUUUAAAUCAACAACAGCUUAAUUUUUCAUAUUUACAUAAACGUCAUCUUUUUUUUUUCACAAGUCAUAUAUAUUUCUAAUUAAUCAAACAGUUUUUUUUUCAAAGUGUAAAGGCUGAGUUCUAGAAAAUAACAUUACAAAGGAGGUCACAUUACAAAUUAUAUCAAAACCCAAAUGAAAGACAAGUCAAUGUAAACAAAAACAAAAAGAGCCUAACUAACAAACAUCAACAGCGUACAGGACACUGACAUCUUUCACAGCCUAGUAGUAGUGAAGACCGUGUACAGGCUGUGUGUGUCUGUCGGCAAAAUAGUACAGCUGACCAUAAAAAUACCAUGAUAGUAUGUACAUUAUGAUUGCAUUACUUGUAGAUGAUCCAUCUGGAUAUGACGACUCCAUAAAGACAACGAGAAAAGCUUUUCCCCAAACCGUUGGUGUUGUAGCCUACAACUAAAACAUUACAGUUGUGUAUUUUGUGUUUGAAGAGAACACCUUCGUUGCACAGCUCAAACGUCUCCAUUAAUACAUUGUUGGUAUAUAUAUAUAUAUAUAUAUUUGUUUGUUUGUUCAGUUUUCAUCGGGUACAAAUAAUCAUAGUCGUAUAAUUUCUGGAGAGAAAAAAACAAACGAAACACAAAAGGUAAAUAUAGACAUUUUUUUAUAUUUUUUAAAUCUCUCCCAUAAUAUAAAAGUCAGCAACUAUAUCAAUAGAUAUACUGUAAUUUCUAUAAAAACAACAUCUGUACCAGUAUCAUUAUUAUUACUAUGGGAUAACCUAUAUCUAUAUAAAGGGUUUUGACUAAAGGGACUAGAUGAUGGUUUCAACAGUAAACCCUCCAUGGAGAAAAAGACCGCAUGCCUCCCAAAUGGCACCCUAUUCGCUAUAUAGUGCACUACUUUGAACAGGGCCCUAUGGCACCAUAUUCCCUAUAUAGUGCACUACUUUGAACAGGGCCCUAUGGCACCCUAUUCCCUACAUAGUGCACUACUUUGAACAGGGCCCUAUGGCACCCUAUUCCCUACAUAGUGCACUACUUUGAACAGGGCCCUAUGGCACCCUAUUCCCUAUAUAGUGCACUACUUUGAACAUGGGCCUACGGCACCCUGUCCCCUAUAUAGUGCACUACUCUAGACCCGAGCCUAAUUGCCUAUAUAGUGCACUACUUUGAACAGGGCCCUAUGGCACCCUGUCCCCUAUAUAGUGCACUACUCUAGACCCGAGCCUAAUUGCCUAUAUAGUGCACUACGUUGAACAGGGCCCUAUAGCACCCUAUUCCCUAUAUGGUGCACAACUUUGACCAGAGGCAUAUAGGGCCCUAUAUAGGGAAUAGUGUGCCAUAGGGCCCUGUCCAAAGCAGUGCACUAUAUAUAGGGAGUAGGGUGCCAUAGGGCCCUGUUCAAAGUAGUGCACUAUAUAGGGAAUAGGGGUCCGUUUGGGAAGCAGACUCUCUGUCCUCUAACCAUAAUAAGUUAUUCUCUGUAAAAAUCUGACUGCACACACAGAUGGAAAACCCCGGGAACAUCUGAACCUUUGGCUUUGAGUGAUAAACGAUGACAAUCACAACCAUCAUGAUCUAAUCCACACAUCAACGUCCUCACUGUUUAGCACACUGCCGACUACGCAUCAUCCACACACAACUACUCCCCUCCAUCUCUCUCUUUCCCAUCACCUGGUCUAAUAAUGACACAGCACUGUGUUGUGGGUUUAUAGUACCCCAUUUUACCCCCACCUCCCCUCCAUCUCUC